UGUUUCUAUAAACACUGAAGUAUAUGUUGCCAUUUUUUGUUGGCUGUACUCUGUAUUUUGCUUGAUUGAAGAUGGUGCAUAUCAUGCUCUCACCUGUACACACCUGCAAGCUAUAAUCACUUUGAUGUUUCCUUUGUGUAACUACACCCUGAGGAAGGCUCAAGCUGACACGUGUUGGUGUAUUUUUUAUGUCUUGCCCUAUUUAUUAAAGGCCUUUUUAUCACUUUUUGUAACCAA